AGUGGGUGUAGCGUACCUACUAGCCUACGACGGGUACGGGUUGUGAGAGCAAGAGCCCGGAGAUGGAUUCUGAGACACGAAUCCAGGCCCUACGGGGUGCAGCAGGCGCGAAAACUUUACAAUGCUGGAAACAGCGAUAAGGGGACCUCGAGUGCCAGGUUACAAAUCUGGCUGUCGUGAUGCCUAAAAAGCAUUGCAUAGCAAGGGCCGGGCAAGACCGGUGCCAGCCGCCGCGGUAACACCGGCGGCUCGAGUGGUAACCGUUAUUAUUGGGUCUAGAGGGUCUGUAGCCGGCCGGAUAAGUCUCUUGGGAAAUCUGGCAGCUUAACUGUCAGGCUUUCAGGGGAUACUGUCUGGCUCGAGGCCGGGAGAGGUGAGAGGUACUUCAGGGGUAGGGGUGAAAUCUUGUAAUCCUUGAAGGACCACCAGUGGCGAAGGCGUCUCACCAGAACGGACCUGACGGCAAGGGACGAAAGCUAGGGGCACGAACCGGAUUAGAU
rnacentral:rRNA from 1 species